rnacentral:rRNA from 1 species
ACCGUGUGCCUACAACAAGUCAAAGCCCGUUAAUGGGUGAUGGCGUGCCUUUUGUAGAAUGAACCGGCGAGUUACGAUUGCAUGCGAGGUUAAGUUGAAGAGACGGAGCCGCAGCGAAAGCGAGUCUGAAUAGGGCGUUUGAGUAUGUAGUCGUAGACCCGAAACCAUGUGAUCUACCCAUGUCCAGGUUGAAGGUGCGGUAAAACGCACUGGAGGACCGAACCCACGUACGUUGAAAAGUGCGGGGAUGAGGUGUGGGUAGCGGAGAAAUUCCAAACGAACUUGGAGAUAGCUGGUUCUCUCCGAAAUAGCUUUAGGGCUAGCCUCGGAAUUGAGAAUGAUGGAGGUAGAGCACUGUUUGGACUAGGGGCCCAUCUCGGGUUACCGAAUUCAGAUAAACUCCGAAUGCCAUUCAUUCAUAUCCGGGAGUCAGACUGUGAGUGAUAAGAUCCAUAGUCGAAAGGGAAACAGCCCAGACCACCAGCUAAGGUCCCAAAAUAUAUGUUAAGUGGAAAAGGAUGUGGGGUUGCACAGACAACUAGG